AUAACUUAUCAGCUUAUGUGUUGGAUCGGUUGAUUCGUAGAUCGAUGAAAAACGCAGCUAGCUGCGUUAUAUACCACGAAUUGCUUAAAAAUUGAGUGGUAAAAUUUUGAACGCAUAGCGCCACAGGGUUUACUCUGUGGCACGCCUGGUUCAG
rnacentral:rRNA from 1 species